rnacentral:lncRNA from 1 species
AAAUUUGAGUUUUUUUCAAUACAAAUUUUAGUUGUGAACUUGUAAUAUCUUCUUCUGUAACGCAAAUUAAAGCGAAAUCUAGCAAAACGUUCCAUCAGAGGCUGUCAAGCACUUUUCCAGCAGGUGGCCUGUCCAAUGACUUCCCAGCCUCGCUGCAAACAAAGACACAGGGUCGAUGACAGCCUCAGCUCCUUUAUUUGUUUAGGUACAGUCAAAAGUAAACCCCUAAUCGAAUUUAUUUGAUAAAACAUAUUCCCAUCGUGUUUCUAAGUCAGUUUUGGUCAUUGAAUUGAUAAGAAC